rnacentral:rRNA from 1 species
GUAAGUUAUUAAGGGCACACGGUGGAUGCCUUGGCAUCAAGAGCCGAUGAAGGACGUGUGAAUCUGCGAUAAGCCUCGGGGAGUCGAUAACAGGACGUUGAUUCGAGGAUUUCCGAAUGGGGGAACCCAGCAUGCUGUGAGGUGUGUUACCACCAGUUGAAUGUAUAGGCUGGUUGGGGGGAACGCGGGGAAGUGAAACAUCUCAGUACCCGCUGGAAGAGAAAAUAAAUAAUGAUUCUGUGAGUAGUGGCGAGCGAAAGCGGAUGAGACUAAACCUGUGGUGUGUGAUACCGGUUGAGGGUUGCAUCAUGGGGGUUGUGGGAGUCAACGUGGUAGGUUCAAUCGCCUGCUGAGUCGAUGUUGUGUUGUGUAGGUGAACAUCUUGGGAUGGAUGGCCGGAGAGGGUGAGAGUCCCGUAACCGAAAUGUGGCACGCCGAUUGUUGAUCACCCGAGUAGCACGGAACUCGUGGAAUUUCGUGUGAAUCUGCCAGGACCACCUGGUAAGUCUAAAUACUUCUUGAUGACCGAUAGUGAAUCAGUACCGUGAGGGAAUGGUGAAAAGUACCCCGGGAGGGGAGUGAAAUAGUACCUGAAACCGUGUGCUUACAAGCCGUUGGAGCCUUGUGGGGUGACAGCGUGCCUUUUGAAGAAUGAGCCUGCGAGUUAGUGUUCUGUCGCGAGGUUAACCCGUGUGGGGAAGCCGUAGCGAAAGCGAGUCUGAAUAGGGCGUUUGAGUGGCAGGAUCUAGACCCGAAGCGGAGUGAUCUAUCCAUGGCCAGGUUGAAGCGACGGUAAGACGUCGUGGAGGACCGAACCCACUUCAGUUGAAAAUGGAGGGGAUGAGCUGUGGAUAGGGGUGAAAGGCCAAUCAAACUCUGUGAUAGCUGGUUCUCCCCGAAAUGCAUUUAGGUGCAGCGUCGUGUGUUUCUUGUUGGAGGUAGAGCUACUGGUUGGCCGAUGGGCCGUAUUGGUUACUGACGUCAGCCAAACUCCGAAUGCCAAUAAGUGAGAGCGCGGCAGUGAGACAGUGGGGGAUAAGCUUCAUUGUCGAGAGGGAAACAGCCCAGACCAUCAAUUAAGGUCCCUAAGCGUGUACUAAGUGGGAAAGGAUGUGGAGUUGCUGAGACAACCAGGAGGUUGGCUUAGAAGCAGCCAUCCUUGAAAGAGUGCGUAAUAGCUCACUGGUCAAGUGAUUCUGCGCCGAUAAUGUAGCGGGGCUCAAGUACACCACCGAAAUUAUGGCAAUGUGUUUUAGACAUGUUGGGUAGGGGAGCGUCGUGUAUCCGGUGAAGCUGCGGUGUGAACUAGUGGUGGAGGGUAUGCGAGUGAGAAUGCAGGCAUGAGUAGCGAAUCACGGGUGAGAAACCCGUGCGCCGGAUGAUCAAGGGUUCCAGGGUCAAGCUAAUCUGCCCUGGGUUAGUCGGGGCCUAAGGCGAGGCCGACAGGCGUAGUCGAUGGAUAACGGGUUGAUAUUCCCGUACCGACGAAGAACCGUCCAUACUGAUAUUUUGAUGCUAACUGUGCGAAGCGACUUGUAACCCUCACUUUGUGGGGGAGCUUGUUGUGGGUUGCAGGACCCGAUGAGUGGAGGUAAACGUAUUAACAGGUGUGACGCAGGAAGGUAGCCGAGCCACGCGAUGGUUGUCGUGGUCUAAGCGUGUAGGGUAUCCGGUUGUUAAAUGCGCUGGUGUUUGCCUGAGACGUGAUGGGACCCCGUUUGUGGGGGAUUUGGUGAUCCUAUGCUGCCGAGAAAAGCAUCGACGUGAGGUUCUAGUUGCCCGUACCCUAAACCGACACAGGUGAUCAGGUAGAGAAUACUAAGGCGAUCGAGAGAAUCAUGGUUAAGGAACUCGGCAAAAUGCCCCCGUAACUUCGGGAGAAGGGGGACCUUGAGCGUGGAGGGCACUUGCUGCCCCGAGCGUGUAUGGGUCGCAGAGACCAGGGGGAAGCGACUGUUUAUCAAAAACACAGGUCCAUGCGAAGUCGUAAGACGAUGUAUAUGGACUGACUCCUGCCCGGUGCUGGAAGGUUAAGAGGAUUGGUUAGCUCUUUGGGCGAAGCUGAGAAUUUAAGCCCCAGUAAACGGCGGUGGUAACUAUAACCAUCCUAAGGUAGCGAAAUUCCUUGUCGGGUAAGUUCCGACCUGCACGAA